UACGGAGGGGGCUAGCGUUGUUCGGAAUUACUGGGCGUAAAGCGCACGUAGGCGGCUUUGUAAGUCAGAGGUGAAAGCCCGGAGCUUAACUCCGGAAUUGCCUUUGAGACUGCAUCGCUCGAAUCCAGGAGAGGUGAGUGGAAUUCCGAGUGUAGGAGGUGAAAUUCGUAGAUAUUCGGAAGAACACCAGUGGCGAAGGGACG
rnacentral:rRNA from 1 species